rnacentral:lncRNA from 1 species
AGCGGCUGCCCCUUCCACGCGCUUCACGGCAAGCGUGGGGCUCUGCCUGCUGACACCAUGCGAGACGGAAGGAAGUGCUGAGCCCAGGCAAGCGCCUGCUCCAGGGCUGGGGGCUUCGGGGAGGGGCCCAGAGGUAACGUCUGGCCCCACUGGCACACGGGGCACGUGCACUAGGAUGUGCUGAAGGAAUGAAAGAAAAAGUAAUACUGAACGAGGGUCAUCAACACCGAAUAGAAAGCAAGGAGUAAAGCCGUGAGACUGAAUCAGAAGUCAGCAGCAGUGCGGCAGGGUCCGGCUGGAAUUGAUAACAAGAGUCAAUGUGUCUUCUCCUACAACUGUGUCCUCGCUCUACAGAAACCUUUUUCCAGAAUCCAAAAAAAUGACUUGCAAACAGUGAAAAACACCCAGCAGGCAGGAAGAAAUAGUCAUGAACCACUGUGCCACAUUUUCUAAAGAUGCUGAAUUUUCUAUAAAUGUCUGCUGAAUCUCAGCUUAAAUAAAAAGAGACUCUCUGACCUUCCCAUGGUCUAAGGUGUUACUCUGCAGCACACCUAGUUGUGACAACUCUAUAAAUGAAUAGCUCAUAAAUGAGCUUUCUGUGAUUGUCUGUUGGAUUCAACAGACCCUGAACUCUUCAGAUAAUGAAGACAUUUUAAAAUAUCUCUCCAACACCUGGACACACACAAAGACAAUCCCUGCAAUAGAACAUUUGUGCUUGGAUGCCCUUGUUCUCCAUUUGCUCAUACGCCAAAACUGAUGCAAAUAGAAUAUGUAAAUACCUACGCC